rnacentral:lncRNA from 1 species
AAGAACACUGUAAUUAGAGACUGCCGCAGGGUGUGUCAUAAUUGUUUACGCUGUUUAUGAAAAUUACCAAUGUGAAAGACCAGCAGAAACAUAUAGCUCAACCUAGUUUAAGAUGAGACCAUUCCUAUUGGGACCAGGUAAUUCCAUUUAGAAAGACAGAUUAUUAGACUUGGAAGGGACUAGUGAUUCUAGCCCAUCGCCUCUGUUUUUAUGGAUGAAGCCAUAGGCCCAGAGAGGCAGAGUAACUUACUCAGGGUUACACAGCUUGUUACAGCUAGUUAGUUCGAGAGUUCGGACCUGAAUCUUAGCCUUCAGCUACGUGGUGGUUAUCCUUUUCUAUACCAUAGUUAGCUUCUUUCAGGAGUGCUCAAGAUUACUCUAAAAAAAGAUUCUUAAGUCAAAACAAGACAAAGGAACCUCCAAGAUCCCUCAGAACUUGCUCAUACUGAAGCCUCUUAAGGAAUCUCCCAUGCAAAAACCUUAAUUUACUAUACAGAUCAAUUAGGGUGUAAUUUGUAAUUAUUCAUAAUACAAAAUAAUUAUCUGAUUUACAAAGGACUCCUCUAAAUAGUAGCUCUUUAUUUGUGCUUUACAGAUGCUAACUCAUUAACAUACUGGCUAGGCUGGGUGGUAGAGAGAACUAAGUAAAAGGUUAGGAGACACUACCUGUUGAAGAUCAUUUAGAAUGGAGAUAAGAGGGUAUGAAAUAAUGUUUGUCAAAGAAAGAUUAUCUGAUUUAUAGAGAGAUACCAGUCCACAUGGCAAGGAAUUGUGGCUGCAUCUGCCCACAGCCAUGUGAACAAGCCAUUAUGAAGCGAGUCCUCCAGCCCCAGUCAAACCUUCAGAUAAUGGCAGCCCCAGUCUAAGUCUUGACUGCAACCUCCUGAAAGACUCUGGGCCAGAGCCACCAGUGAGACAAUAAAUGCUGAUUUAAACUGCUAAAUGUUGGGGUAAUUUGUUAGGCAGUAAUAGAUAACUAAUACAAUCCUCCUUCACAUUUGCAGUUUGCCUAUGUGAUAACUUAGGUCUUCACGAUGGCCCAGAGUAAGACGACGCAGGAGGACCCUUCUAGUCAUUUAAUUAUUGCUUGACCAGAACUGUGCCUUGUAAGGUUAUUGCUCCCUUAAUGUGUCUCUCAGGGUCAGGCUGCAAAUUUCCCUCAAAGCAGCAUAAAAGAAGAAGGGACACUCACAAAUCCCCUGACCAAUGCCUCUUUGUUUAGAAAUGCUUGCUGUUUGGAAACUUGUGAAGACCUGCAUCCCUUUGUAUCUCAAAUAAAGACAGAGGUGUUUCCAGACCUAAGAAUAACAGGAACAUGGAGGAGUGGCAUCUCCAGUGUAGCCACCCACCAAAGCCUCAUCCUGAACACUAUGGCCUAGUGGGUCACUUACAG